UACGGAGGGGGCUAGCGUUGUUCGGAAUUACUGGGCGUAAAGCGCGCGUAGGCGGCUUUGUAAGUUAGAGGUGAAAGCCCGGAGCUCAACUCCGGAACUGCCUUUAAAACUGCAUCGCUUGAAUCCAGGAGAGGUGAGUGGAAUUCCGAGUGUAGAGGUGAAAUUCGUAGAUAUUCGGAAGAACACCAGUGGCGAAGGCGGCUGCCUGGGCCUGGCCUGACGCUGAGGCGCGAAAGCGUGGGGAGCAAUCCGG
rnacentral:rRNA from 1 species